rnacentral:rRNA from 2 species
UACGGAGGUUGCAAGCGUUGUUCGGAAUGACUGGGCGUAAAGGGAGCGCAGGCGGCCAAGUCAGUCUGAAGUGAAAGCCCGGGGCUUAACCCCGGAAUAGCUUUGGAUACUGCCUGGCUUGAGUGUGCGAUAGGAAAGCGGAAUUCCAGGUGUAGCGGUGAAAUGCGUAGAUAUCUGGAGGAACACCGGUGGCGAAAGCGGCUUUCUGGCGCAUAACUGACGCUGAGGCUCGAAAGCGUGGGGAGCGAACGGG